rnacentral:rRNA from 1 species
GACGAACGCUGGCGGCGUGCUUAACACAUGCAAGUCGAACGGAAAGGCCCUGCUUGCAGGGUACUCGAGUGGCGAACGGGUGAGUAACACGUGGGUGAUCUGCCCUGCACUUCGGGAUAAGCCUGGGAAACUGGGUCUAAUACCGGAUAGGAGCCAUUUUUAGUGUGAUGGUUGGAAAGUUUUUUCGGUGUAGGAUGAGCUCGCGGCCUAUCAGCUUGUUGGUGGGGUAAUGGCCUACCAAGGCGGCGACGGGUAGCCGGCCUGAGAGGGUGGACGGCCACAUUGGGACUGAGAUACGGCCCAGACUCCUACGGGAGGCAGCAGGGGGGAAUAUUGCACAAUGGGCGCAAGCCUGAUGAAGCGACGCCGCGUGGGGGAUGACGGCCUUCGGGUUGUAAACUCCUUUCGCUAGGGACGAAGCUUUUUGUGACGGUACCGAGAUAAGAAGCACCGGCUAACUACGU